rnacentral:misc_RNA from 1 species
ACUGCUAUUUGAAAUGAAUUGUGUAAUUUUUUUGACGUCCACGGCGAACCGACCUUGAAGGUCGUUCCGUCACUUAAAGAGUAGCUUCACUUUGGUUGUCAACAUUACGCCGCAGCAUCACAGCAACGUCUCAUCAAUGAGGUGUCCACAUUUGAUGGAAUCGAAAAGUAAACGCUUGGACGACCAAGUCUAGAAAGCACCACACUGAAAUAUUUGCCGCCUCGUUAGAUUUCUUUAUUUCUGCUGAAUGCCAAUUAAUUUCUCCUUUGGAAGGUUCGACGAAAAGAAACCCAGUAGCCAUCAUCAAAGGCAGCGAGCUGAGUUGUUCACAUCUACAAUAAACAGUGUUGAAGUUGCCACUCCCAGUCUUGUUCUUCAUUUCAUUAUUACAUUUAUACUUUUAUCACCAAGACCUCUCUGUAUAAAUAAAGAUCACAAUGGAAAAUGUGAUAAUAAGGGAGGCAAGGAGAGAAGACUGCAAGGAACUGAGAAGAUUGAUACAGGAGCUUGCUGACUUUGAAGAGAUGCCAGAUGACUGCAAGCUGACAGUAGAGGGACUGGAACGUGAUGGCUUUGAUGCAGUGCCACCACUGUUUCAUUGUUAUGUUGCAGAAGUCAAUACACACAUGAAGGAUAUCAGUGCAACCAAGGAAGAAAAUGUUUCAGAUGUAUUGAAAAUGGGAGACAGCUGUGCAAAGCUUAUUGGACAUGCUUUGUAUUUCUUUUCCUAUUCCUCUCAAAGGGGACGUACAAUUUACUUAGAGGAUAUUUAUGUUACACCUGAGUACAGGGGAUCAAAGCUUGGUUCAGCUCUUUUUGAUAAGGUGGCAAAGAAAAUUCAUCUUGACUCACUGACCAAUUACAAGAGUAAAACAAGGACGAUGUUAGCAAAUCAGCACGAAAUAUUAGUACUACCGUUGAAAUGCCAUCAUAACCAGAAUUACUGCUUUUAAGUGGCCUAUGUGCAUUUGUGAUCUCUUUUACAAUUGAUUAGGAAAAACAGAUGUUUCUGGUGGAAAAGGAAUUGAGACUGGAUGUGUUCAAAUGGACCUUGUUGUACUCAAUUGGAAUCCAGCUCAAAUAUUUUACAAACGAAAAGGUGCAACUGACAUCACUUCUGAGAAAAACUUCAAU